rnacentral:rRNA from 1 species
ACGGGUGCGUAACGCGUGGGAAUCUACCCUUGGGUUCGGAAUAACAUCGGGAAACUGAUGCUAAUACCGGAUAAUGACGUAAGUCCAAAGAUUUAUCGCCCAGGGAUGAGCCCGCGUAGGAUUAGCUUGUUGGUGAGGUAAAGGCUCACCAAGGCGACGAUCCUUAGCUGGUCUGAGAGGAUGAUCAGCCACACUGGGACUGAGACACGGCCCAGACUCCUACGGGAGGCAGCAGUAGGGAAUAUUGGACAAUGGGGGCAACCCUGAUCCAGCAAUGCCGCGUGAGUGAUGAAGGCCUUAGGGUUGUAAAGCUCUUUUACCCGGGAUGAUAAUGACAGUACCGGGAGAAUAAGCCCCGGCUAACUCCGUGCCAGCAGCCGCGGUAAUACGGAGGGGGCUAGCGUUGUUCGGAAUUACUGGGCGUAAAGCGCACGUAGGCGGCGAUUUAAGUCAGAGGUGAAAGCCCGGGGCUCAACCCCGGAACUGCCUUUGAGACUGGAUUGCUUGAAUCACGGAGAGGUGGGUGGAAUUCCGAGUGUAGAGGUGAAAUUCGUAGA